UACGGAGGGCGCGAGCGUUAAUCGGAAUCACUGGGCGUAAAGCGCGCGUAGGCGGCCCCUCAAGUCCGGCGUGAAAGCCCCGGGCUCAACCUGGGAACUGCGUCGGAUACUGUGGGGCUGGAGUGCGGGAGAGGGGUGCGGAAUUUCCGGUGUAGCAGUGAAAUGCGUAGAGAUCGGAAGGAACACCAGCGGCGAAGGCGGCACCCUGGACCGACACUGACGCUGAGGCGCGAAAGCGUGGGGAG
rnacentral:rRNA from 1 species